rnacentral:rRNA from 1 species
CGACCUCAGAUCAGACGAGACGACCCGCUGAAUUUAAGCAUAUUACUAAGCGGAGGAAAAGAAACUAACCAGGAUUCCCUCAGUAGCGGCGAGCGAAGAGGGAAGAGCCCAGCGCCGAAUCCCCCGUCCCCUCGCGGGCGCGGGGAAAUGUGGCGUACGGAAGUCCGCAUCGCCCGGCGCGGGCCGGGGGCCUGAGUCCUUCUGAUGGAGGCUCAGCCCGUGGACGGUGUGAGGCCGGUAACGGCCCCCGCCCCGCCGGGACGCGGGCUUCCCGGAGUCGGGUUGCUUGGGAAUGCAGCCCAAAGCAGGUGGUAAACUCCAUCUAAGGCUAAAUA